AUCAGUAUUCUUGUUUCUCUUUCUUUCUCGUUCCUUUUCUUUCUUUUCUCUUUUCUUCCCUUCUCCUGUUUAUCUUCUUUUAUGAUCGAUUGAGGUUUCGUGUGAGAUUUUGUUGAAGUAAAUCAGUUGAGGAAGAGGUAUAGAUGAAUAAGGGUUCGUUGUUCUAUAGACUUUUAGUGUAGAAGAUGAUGUUGAUGAAGAAUCAAUAAGUGAGAGAUUAUUAGGGUUUCUGUAAUUGAACUCGAGAAUUCGAUUAAGGGUGAAUAAGUAGAAGUUAGAAGAUGGGUUUUGUACUAAUUGAUAUAUGAUUGAAGAUGUAGAGUUGUUGGAGGAUGAAUCAGUGAAUUUAGGGUUUCUCUGUGAAUCAAUGAAGGUGAGGAUGAUGAUGAGAUUAAGAUCGAGAGAUGUAGAAUAGAGUUACGGGUAGAUGAAGAAGCAAUGGGUUGAGGUUUAAUUACAAUUAUAAGGAAUAUUUGGGAGAUUAAAUUAGGGUUCAUACUGAUUCUGAAUUGAAUGGAUAAUUGAGUGGUUAAUGGCUAAAGAACGAAGGGUUGUUGUUUACCUGAAGUUAUGAGGUUGAAUUUAUAAAGAAUCGAAAGGUUAGGGUUUUGUAGAAUUUUCAGUGAGGAUUGAAGAAUGAAAUUGGAAGUCUAGAAGAUGGAUUUGAGAUGGGUUUUUGUGUUGUAAUGAUUGACUGUGAAGUUAAGGUGUUGGAAUUGAUUAGAAGAUCAGUUCAGGGUGUGUGUUGAUUGUUGCAAGACAUGUGUGAUGUUUUGAAUGCAUCUGAAGCUGUUAGUUGAGACUAAAUGGUUGAGGUAAUUAUUCUUCACUGUAAUCUUAAUAAAGUUAUUUGGUUCUUAUUGAAUUUGUACAAUUGUGGUGGAGUUGAAAUGGUUUAGUUGUUGAUGUUGUUUUGAGAUGCAAUUGAAGUAUAAUUGAGAAUGGUGUGUACUGAGAAGUUUAAAAAGAAGGUGAUGCUGUUGUGUUGAUGAUGGCUGAGUUAUGGUGAUGUUCCUUAACUGGUGGUAUUGGUGUAAGAUAUAUGAUGAGCUUAGUUGAACUGUCUUAUGUGGUGCUGAAGAGAACUGGAUUGUGGUGGUGGUAUUAUAGAGUGUUUGUGGUUUGGUGUUGGUGAAUGAGUUGAAUGUUCGAGUUACUUCUGAAGUUGCGGGUGUUGUUAAAUGGGGUUUGCAGCUUGUAAAUGAGUGAAUUGUAAUGGCUGGUAGAGCUGCCGAUUGUUUUAGUGUUGAAGUAAAUGGGUAACGGUGAUGGUGUCAAUUCUGUGAGUGUUGUAGUUGAGAUGCGAAGUUCAGUUCUGGUGGAGUUAUUAGAUAGUGAUAAUGGAAAUGGAAUUGAGUCACAGAUGGUGAUGGUGCUGUUGUGGUGAUGUUCCUGUGUAUCUUUCGUGCAGUUAUGAAUUGUGCAAUGAUGUUUAACUCAUUCUGCUGUGAUGAGAAGUUAUGUGACUGAAGUAUUGGAAUGAAGGUUGGAUGAGUGUAUAGAGUUGAAUCUCUCUUGUAGAGCUGAGAACUGCUGAGUUGCAGUUAGUCUAUUAACAACGAUCGAUUCAAAGGAUGAACCAGUGGAUCGUGGAUCUCGAGGUAGACGUGGCUUGUCACCAAAAGAGUUUCAAAGACAGAUCAGAGUUGCACAUCGAAAGCUUCAAGGAAUUGACUCCGUUAAUUAGUUAAAUAUUGCUAUGUUUAUUAUGUUGUAUAUUUUCUUUGCAAACCAAAUGACUAUUAUAUAUGUAUCAUUUGAGAGGAGUUCUUGUAUAUAUAUUUCUGAGCGGGGCAAUUUUGGGUUAAGUUUUGUAGCAGAUUUCUUAAUUAAAUGUUUAAGUAAAGGAUUUAGAUUUUUA